GACGAACGCUGGCGGCGUGCCUAAUACAUGCAAGUCGAACGCUUCUUUCCUCCCGAGUGCUUGCACUCAAUUGGAAAGAGGAGUGGCGGACGGGUGAGUAACACGUGGGUAACCUACCCAUCAGAGGGGGAUAACACUUGGAAACAGGUGCUAAUACCGCAUAACAGUUUAUGCCGCAUGGCAUAAGAGUGAAAGGCGCUUUCGGGUGUCGCUGAUGGAUGGACCCGCGGUGCAUUAGCUAGUUGGUGAGGUAACGGCUCACCAAGGCCACGAUGCAUAGCCGACCUGAGAGGGUGAUCGGCCACACUGGGACUGAGACACGGCCCAGACUCCUACGGGAGGCAGCAGUAGGGAAUCUUCGGCAAAGGACGAAAGUCUGACCGAGCAACGCCGCGUGAGUGAAGAAGGUUUUCGGAUCGUAAAACUCUGUUGUUAGAGAAGAACAAGGACGUUAGUAACUGAACGUCCCCUGACGGUAUCUAACCAGAAAGCAACGGCUAACUACGUG
rnacentral:rRNA from 1 species